rnacentral:rRNA from 1 species
GGCUGCAACUCGCCUACACGAAGUCGGAAUCGCUAGUAAUCGCGGAUCAGCAUGCCGCGGUGAAUACGUUCCCGGGCCUUGUACACACCGCCCGUCACACCAUGGGAGAUGGAUAUGCCCGAAGUCAGUGACCUAACCGAAAGGGAGGAGCUGCCGAAGGUGGAGCCAUUAACUGGGGUGAAGUCGUAACAAGGUAAC